CUAAAAUCAUGAUUGAAUUUGUAUGCAAACUGCAUAUACACGAUUUUUAAAUCAACAUAAUAAUAUCUAUGGCAAUACCCUAUGAACCUCAUUUGACCACAUAUAACUAAUAACAAAAAUCUCAAUACAUGUUAUAUGCGCAUAGCUCAUAACCGUGCUUGACUUAUGCGUGAUAGAAAGCAUUGUUCUCGCAUAUACACUUUGUGAGCAUCGCAUAUACAUUGUAUGGACGAGAUACUAUAGAUUUUUGCAAUAUGCUUUUUCAGAUGAAAUUUAUAUGCGGAGUUCACAAGGUGUAUUAAACCGGGUUAUCUAUCUCUCUUUUCCUCUUUGACGCACAAAGAUGGCGAAAUUGAAGUAAAAAUGACUUGUUCGUUCGAUAAAAAAAAUGUGUUUUCGGAAUGAUAAGAUAAGUAUUUGAGAAUUAUUUAUGAUUAAACUAGUUUAAAUCAAAUUCCUUUUUAGGUCACCUAACCUGGUCCUUUCCGGCACUUUGCCAUUUCGGUAGAUUAAAGUGCCGGUAUAUUCGGGAGGAUUUGCGUCAGAUUGAACGGUUAAUCCGUUGCCUGGUACGGUGAUGGCCGGAGUCGGAUGUAGUUUUCAAUUUAAUUUCUUUGUUAUGCAAAUCGUGAUCAACGCCACCCGAAAUCCAGAGAUGACAUCACGCGGAAGAGAUCCGCCCCAAGCAGGUAACCUUCAACGCGUCCAACUUCGCCGACAUGGCCCCAGAACACGAUGACAAAACCGCCGUCUGCUGCCAACGCCGAUUGCAACCAUCGCUGCAGCAGCAACCUACGUCACAGCCGGUUCCGUUUGCUUCAGACGGCCGAACCAAGUCGUGCGCCAACAGCUACGCGAUCCGGAACUGGCUCGUAAUCGGCGAAAUGCUGUGGAACGCGUCCUGAGCAAGCUGGAGAAACGAUGCUGAGCAAGAAUGAUCAUCGGUUGCGAACGGGACCCAGGACAUACGGUCGGUGGCAUUUUGCGGGUAUCCACGAACUGGCCGAAAGAUUAUCGAGACCAGCAGUUCAGGCGUUCAAGAGUCUAAUCGGCCAGUUCAACCAGGGCUAGCCAUAGAACCUUUCGAUUCGAUGCGAGGAACAGGAGGAGGUUAUCUCUGCCAAAAUAAAGGAACCUACGGCUGGAAUCGGAGAGCUGGUCCAAAACAUGAUCCGGGUCGAAAGGCAGCACAAGGUGCACGGCAAACAGGAGCAAAAUACAAAGGCGGACCCAGAGGCGAUCAUCCGGUACAAAAUCUGCUGCAGCUUAACUGUAGGGCAAUGUGGCCCUCGUCGCAGCUGCUUGACGCCUUGGUCAGUGACAACGCCUUCGGCAGCCCAACCCCAUCCAAGACUAAUUCCAGCCCGGCCAUGAUUCCGCUCUUGUUCGCAAUCUCCGCCUUCAAAUGGUCCCGAGUCAACGCCCGGGCCUGUCUCCCGGACUUCAACAGCGCCUUCUGUACCAGUUCCCGUUACUCCUUCAACCAUUCAUUCUCCCGCUUAGUGCUUCUUCCGCAGUUGGUUCUCCAGGGCCAUGACCUGACGACUUUCGGAGUUUAGUAUAUUCUCGGGUAUAUUGUAAAUAAAAAUUGAUGAAUAAUAAAAUAAAAAAAA